rnacentral:rRNA from 1 species
UACGUAGGGUGCAGGCGUUAAUCGGAAUUACUGGGCGUAAAGCGUGCGCAGGCGGUUUUGUAAGUCUGACGUGAAAUCCCCGGGCUCAACCUGGGAAUUGCGUUGGAGACUGCAAGGCUGGAGUCUGGCAGAGGGGGGGUAGAAUUCCACGUGUAGCAGUGAAAUGCGUAGAGAUGUGGAGGAACACCGAUGGCGAAGGCAGCCCCCCUGGGUCAAGACUGACGCUCAUGCACGAA